rnacentral:rRNA from 1 species
CGUAAGGACCGAGCGUUGUCCGGAAUCAUUGGGCGUAAAGGGUACGUAGGCGGGUUUUAAGUUAGAAGUCAAAGGCUAUAGCUCAACUAUAGUAAGCUUCUAAAACUGGGAACCUUGAGUAAUGGAAGGGAAAGUGGAAUUCCUAGUGUAGCGGUGGAAUGCGCAGAUAUUAGGAGGAAUACCGGUGGCGAAGGCGACUUUCUGGCCAUUAACUGACGCUGAGGUACGAAAGCGUGGGUAGCAAACAGGAUU